rnacentral:lncRNA from 1 species
GCCUUAACAAAUGUGUCAUUUUGAUAAUUCGAUCAAUGGUACCGAGAUUUCAUGUGUGAGUUAUGAACACUUGUUCUAAUGGAUAAUUGGUUCAAAGCUUGUCUACCAAUCUAUUCGGGGAUGAGUGGAAACUUAACUUACUAAGUAAUGGUUCAAAUCGUGAGAUACCUUUAUUAAAACCAUGAGAUUUCCGGAAUAAUGGAUUUAGA